AAUAGAUACCCAGGUAGUCCACGCCGUAAACGAUCGAGUGCUAAGUGUUAGAGGGUUUCCGCCCUUUAGUGCUGCAGCUAACGCAUUAAGCACUCCGCCUGGGGAGUACGGUCGCAAGACUGAAACUCAAAGGAAUUGACGGGGGCCCGCACAAGCGGUGGAGCAUGUGGUUUAAUUCGAAGCAACGCGAAGAACCUUACCAGGUCUUGACAUCCUCUGACAACUCUAGAGAUAGAGCGUUCCCCUUCGGGGGACAGAGUGACAGGUGGUGCAUGGUUGUCGUCAGCUCGUGUCGUGAGAUGUUGGGUUAAGUCCCGCAACGAGCGCAACCCUUGAUCUUAGUUGCCAGCAUUUAGUUGGGCACUCUAAGGUGACUGCCGGUGACAAACCGGAGGAAGGUGGGGAUGACGUCAAAUCAUCAUGCCCCUUAUGACCUGGGCUACACACGUGCUACAAUGGAUGGUACAAAGGGCUGCAAGACCGCGAGGUCAAGCCAAUCCCAUAAAACCAUUCUCAGUUCGGAUUGU
rnacentral:rRNA from 1 species